rnacentral:rRNA from 1 species
AACGAACGCUGGCGGCAUGCCUAACACAUGCAAGUCGAACGAGACCUUCGGGUCUAGUUGCGCACGGGUGCGUAACGCGUGGGAACCUGCCAUUAGGUUCGGAAUAACUCCCAGAAAGGGGUACUAAUACCGGAUAAUGUCUUCGGCCCAAAGAUUUAUCGCCUUUGGAUGGGCCCGCGUUGGAUUAGCUAGUUGGUAGGGUAAAAGCCUACCAAGGCGAAGAUCCAUAGCUGGUCUGAGAGGAGGAUAAGCCACACUGGGACUGAGACACGGCCCAGACUCCUACGGGAGGGAGCAGUGGGGAAUAUUGGACCAUGGGCGAAAGCCUGAUCCAGCAAUGCCGCGUGAGUGAUGAAGGCCUUAGGGUUGUAAAGCUCUUUUAUCCGGGAUGAUAAUGACAGUACCGGGAGAAUAAGCUCCGGCUAACUACGUG